UACGUAGGGUGCAAGCGUUGUCCGGAAUUAUUGGGCGUAAAGAGCUCGUAGGCGGUUUGUUGCGUCGGCUGUGAAAUCCCGAGGCUCAACCUCGGGUCUGCAGUCGAUACGAGCAAACUAGAGUGUUGCAGGGGAGACUGGAAUUCCUGGUGUAGCGGUGAAAUGCGCAGAGUAUCAGGAGGAACACCGGUGGCGAAGGCGGGUCUCUGGGCAACAACUGACGCUGGAGGAGCGAAAGCCGUGGGGAGCGAACAGGA
rnacentral:rRNA from 1 species